rnacentral:RNase_P_RNA from 1 species
UGAGCCGGCCGGGCGACCGCGUUGCGCCGCUGGUCGGCGUACCGAGGAAGGUCCGGACUCUGCAGGGCAGGGUGGUGGGUAACGCCCACCCGAGGCGACUCGCGGGACAGUGCCACAGAAAGCAGACCGCCAACGGCUCCGACCGGUCGCGAGACCGGCCGGGGUGCGGGCAAGGGUGAAACGGUGGUGUAAGAGACCACCAGCGCCCCAGGCGACUGGGACGGCUCGGUAAACCCCACCCGGAGCAAGGCCAAGAGGGCCCGCUGCGCGAGCAGCCGGCCUGCGCGAACGUUCGAGGGCGGCCCGCCCGAGUUCGCGGGUAGGCCGCUGGAGGGCGCCGGCAACGGCGUCCCGAGAUGGAUGGUCGCCGGCGCCGGAACCGCAAGGGCCCGGCGUCACAGGAUCCGGCCUACACGCCGGCUCAUCCG